rnacentral:rRNA from 1 species
UGAGGAACAUGACCUUCGGCGGGGGAGUAGCCGGCCCAACGGCCGGGUAAUACCGCGUACGACCACAUGGGGACAUCCCUGAGUGGUGAAAGCAGCAAUGCGCCGAUGGAGUGCCUCGCGGCCUAUCAGCUAGUUGGUGAGGUAACGGCUCACCAAGGCGAACGACGG